ensembl:snRNA
GAGUUGUGUAAAAGGAGAGAGGUUAGCACUGCCCCGGACAAGGGUGUUCGAGGCCCUCAGGCCUGACAACACACGCACCGUCAAGGCUUCUGGCAUGGCCACCUCGCCAUGGUUUUUCAUUUUUUUUU